AGGGCCCUUGCGAGGGGGAGCGGAGCAGAGCAGAGCCGAGUGGUAGCGUGCACGCAGCUCCGCAGAGCAGGCAGAGAGAGGUCAGAUUUGCAGACCAGAGCAUUUGAGGACACUCCAGAAGUCUGAGGAUCAGCGGAUGCCCAUCUAGGACUACAUUCAGAAGGUCCACUGCUGGCAUACCCCAAUGACUGGAGAUCAGGUGGACGAUGUCCUCCUUCAGGGACCAUUCUCCAGGGAACAUCUUGGAUCUACUACACCUGCCAGCUUUAAAGUUUGGGGCUUAAACUGAGAGCAAGGUCUACUCUGUCCAUCCAAACACUGAGUGAGAUUGCACAAAUAUGAUAGACAGCACCCCAUCAUAAAUUGUUAAUGCCUCUUAUUGAUUCCAAUAUUGCCGAA